rnacentral:rRNA from 1 species
CCCUUAGAUGUUCUGGGCCGCACGCGUGCUACACUGAUGCAUUCAACGAGUCUAAAACCUGGUCUGAUAGGGCUGGGUAAUCUUUUGAAAGUGCAUCGUGAUUGGGAUAGAUGAUUGCAAUUCUUCAUCUUCAACGAGGAAUGCCUAGUAAACGCAAGUCAUCAGCUUGCAUUGAUUACGUCCCUGCCCUUUGCACACACCGCCCGUCGCUACGACCGACUGUUUCUGUCAAUGAAGCUGUAGGAUUCGGCCCUGGCCGGGGCGCAAGCCCUGGCUACGUGGUUGGAGAUCAUAGUUUAGUUGAUACGAAAUACAGGACGUAAAAGUCGUAACA